ensembl:lncRNA
GUUUGAACUGAGUGUUCGACGGUUAAUCUUGCGCUGCUUCACUUUCUUCAUUUGUUUCCACAUCUGCAGCUGCUGGAUCCUCCAGAAAUGUUGCUGCAGAGUCAGAGAUGUGCUGCUGAAAAGUCACGUACAUCACUGGUAAGGUUUACGAUGAGCAAUUACUUGCAUCGGAAAGCAGAUAAGUGUCGUAGGGGAAAAGUACAGUAUUUCACUGCAGCAGUGGUUUUCAGUUUUGAGAGAACUAAGUGUUGUGCAGUACAAGUAAGAGUUGCAGAGUAUAUGUAAGAGUAAUAAAGUACAGGUAAGUGUUGUAUAGUAAAGGUAAGUGUUGUGUAGUACAGGUAAGAGAUGUAGAAUAUAUGUAAGAGUAAUAUAGUACAGGUUAGUGUUGUAUAGUAAAGGUAAGUGUUGUGUAGUACAGGUAAGAGAUGUAGAGUAUAAGAGUAAUAUAGUACAGGUUAGUGUUGUAUAGUAUAUGUAAGUGUUGUAUAGUAUAGGCACAUGUUGUAGAGUAUAUGUAGUUGUGCAGGCAGGUGGCCUCAAUAGCCAUUUAAAUUAGCUAAACCAAGCUAAAGGACAAAUUUGGCGAGCACUGAACCAUAGCUUUCUCAAUAUAAGGCCAUUAGUCAUAUAAGAGGCUUAAGGUUCGGCCCUGAGGUACCAGACUUGGCCAUGGCUUCUGAGAUACCUGUGGUGGCUGUCACUUCCAGGAGUCCCUGUAACAGCCUAUGCUCGCUGAGGUCCAUGUCAAGGCCAUUGCCUCCCUGAGGUCCCUGUCUUAGCCAACACUCCCUAAGGUCCCUGUGAUGGCCAAUGCCGCUUGAGGUCUCCCCUGUCAUGACCACAGCUUCCUGAGGUCCCUGUCACAGGCUGAGCGCCUAAGGUCCCUUUCAUUACCGCCAUCCAAAUAUGCCAACUUACUUGGCUGCUGACAAUAUAGUGCUGGCAAAGUGUUCCUGAGUCCAGUUAUCUGUCCUUGAGCCUCUGCUAGAAAACAUAGUACAAGAGCCACAACCCAGGUCCUCCUCAGCGCCACAGCCCAGACAUCCCUCAGUACUGCGGCUGCAGUACAGGCACCCGUCAGCGCUGCUGCGUCAGUCCAGGCACCCCUCAGCGCCGCGGCCACAGGUACCCCUCAGUGCACAGGUAAAGCCCAAGCAGCCCUAAGUUCAGCUGGCACAUCCCAGGCCCCUUCAGUGCCAUGCAUGACCACGGGACCAUCUCAGUGUCAUAUUCAGGCCAGUUGCUAAGGGGGGUUGUAGAGUACAGGUACGGGUUUUGGAGUGCAGGUAAGAGUUGUAGACUAAAGGUAAGCGUUUUAGACUAAAGGUACAAGUUCUAGAGUACAGGUAAGUUGUAGACUAAAGGUAAGAGUUGUAGACUUAAGGUUAGGGUGGCCAUAUGCACCGUUCAUAAAGGACAAGUCCCAGCAAGGAUUUUAAUAUUGCCUAAAAUAUCCAGGUUUUGGCUGUUUGCACUAUGCAGGUCAAAUGUUGUAUGACAUUCAUGAGAGCUAUAGAGAGCAGAGUAGACAGCUCCUUAUGCUUUUGAAUCGCUCUUGCACCUACUUUGGUGUCUUUUUUUGAUCGGCACACUUCAAGUUAAACGAACGAACAAAUACGUGCACAUAUGUGCAUUGCUUUGAUCAUUCCCUGUAGAUCUCAUCUUCUCACGCACUGCCCUAUGAUUGGUCGAUUAUGUACAAUACCUGCAUGUUAUUGGUAAAACUGCUUUGAAUGUUUUAGGCAUUAUUAAAAUCCUGGCCAGGACGUGUCCCAUAUAAACGGCACAUAUGGCCACCCUACUUUUUUAAGAGUUCAAGAGUACAGGUAAGAGUUGUAGACUAAAGGUAAGAGUUCAGGUAGGUCCUGUGAAAUACAGGUAAGAGUUGUAGACUAAAGGUAAGAGUUGUAGACUAAAGUUAACAGGUGCAGACUAAAGGUAAGAGUUCAGGUAGGUCCUGUGAAAUACAGGUAAGAGUUGAAGACUAAAGUUAAGAGUUGUAGAAUACAGGUAAGUCCUGUCGAAUAUAGGUAAGAGUUGUAGAAUACAGGUAAGAGUUGUAGACUAAAGGUAAGAGUUGUACACUAAAGGUAAGGAGACUUAAUGUAGACUAAACUUAACAG